CAGCGUGUAGCUCAGUCGGCCAGAGUAUCGCCCUCGGAAGGCGAGGGUCGUUGGUUCAACUCCAACCACGCUGACCA
rnacentral:tRNA from 1 species